AACGAACGCUGGCGGCGCGCCUAAUACAUGCAAGUCGAGCGAGAAGACGUAGCAAUACGUUUGUAAAGCGGCGGACGGGUGAGGAAUACAUGGGUAACCUACCCUCGAGUGGGGAAUAACUAGCCGAAAGGUUAGCUAAUACCGCGUACGCUCCUUGGACUUCGGUUCAGGGAGGAAAGCGAUACCGUGGGUAUCGCGCUCUUGGAUGGGCUCAUGUCCUAUCAGCUUGUUGGUGAGGAACGGCUCACCAAGGCUUCGACGGGUAGCUGGUCUGAGAGGACGAUCAGCCACACUGGCACCGCGACACGGGCCAGACUCCUACGGGAGGCAGCAGUAAGGAAUAUUGCGCAAUGGGCGAAAGCCUGACGCAGCGACGCCGCGUGGGGGAUGAAGGUC
rnacentral:rRNA from 1 species